rnacentral:rRNA from 1 species
UACGUAGGGUGCAAGCGUUAUCCGGAAUUAUUGGGCGUAAAGAGCGCGUAGGCGGUUUGACGCGUCUGCUGUGAAAGUUCGGGGCUCAACCCCGGAACUGCAGUGGGUACGGGCAGACUAGAGUGCGGUAGAGGAGACUGGAAUUCCUGGUGUAGCGGUGGAAUGCGCAGAUAUCAGGAGGAACACCAGUGGCGAAGGCGGGUCUCUGGGCCGCAACUGACGCUGAGGAGCGAAAGCGUGGGGAGCGAACAGG